GGCGGAGUAGCUCAGCUGGUUAGAGCAGAGGAAUCAUAAUCCUUGUGUCGGGGGUUCAAAUCCCUCCUCCGCUACCA
rnacentral:tRNA from 45 species